UGAACGCUGGCGGAAUGCUUUACACAUGCAAGUCGAGCGGCAGCGCGGGGGCAACCCUGGCGGCGAGCGGCGAACGGGUGAGUAACACAUCGGAACGUACCCAGUUGUGGGGGAUAGCCCGGCGAAAGCCGGAUUAAUACCGCAUACGACCUGAGGGUGAAAGGGGGGGAUCGCAAGACCUCUCGCAGUUGGAGCGGCCGAUGGCGGAUUAGCUAGUUGGUGGGGUAAAGGCCUACCAAGGCGACGAUCCGUAGCUGGUCUGAGAGGACGACCAGCCACACUGGAACUGAGACACGGUCCAGACUCCUACGGGAGGCAGCAGUGGGGAAUUUUGGACAAUGGGGGCAACCCUGAUCCAGCCAUUCCGCGUGAGUGAAGAAGGCCUUCGGGUUGUAAAGCUCUUUCGGCAGGAACGAAACGGUGGAGGCUAAUACCUUUCAUCAAUGACGGUACCUGAAGAAGAAGCACCGGCUAACUACGU
rnacentral:rRNA from 1 species